AUUGAACGCUGGCGGCAUGCCUUACACAUGCAAGUCGAACGGCAGCACGGGAGCUUGCUCCUGGUGGCGAGUGGCGAACGGGUGAGUAAUGCAUCGGAACGUACCCAGGAGUGGGGGAUAACGUAGCGAAAGUUACGCUAAUACCGCAUAUUCUGUGAGCAGGAAAGCGGGGGAUCGCAAGACCUCGCGCUCUUGGAGCGGCCGAUGUCGGAUUAGCUAGUUGGUGAGGUAAAGGCUCACCAAGGCGACGAUCCGUAGCUGGUCUGAGAGGAUGAUCAGCCACACUGGGACUGAGACACGGCCCAGACUCCUACGGGAGGCAGCAGUGGGGAAUUUUGGACAAUGGGGGCAACCCUGAUCCAGCCAUGCCGCGUGAGUGAAGAAGGCCUUCGGGUUGUAAAGCUCUUUCGGCGGGGAAGAAAUCGCAUCUCCUAAUACGGGGUGUGGAUGACGGUACCCGCAUAAGAAGCACCGGCUAACUACGUGCCAGCCGCCGCGGUAA
rnacentral:rRNA from 1 species